rnacentral:piRNA from 1 species
UAAGGAAAAGGUGCAAUUCCUCCACUUGA